CACGUAGGGUGCAAGCGUUGUCCGGAAUCAUUGGGCGUAAAGAGCACGCAGGCGGUUUGGCAAGUCGGAUGUGAAAACCCGAAGCUCAACUUCGGGCCUGCAUCCGAAACUGCCCGACUAGAGGUAGGUAGGGGAGAUCGGAAUUCCUGGUGUAGCGGUGAAAUGCGCAGAUAUCAGGAGGAACACCGGUGGCGAAGGCGGAUCUCUGGGCCUUACCUGACGCUCAGGUGCGAAAGCUAGGGGAGCGAACAGG
rnacentral:rRNA from 1 species